GGAUCAUUACCGAGUGAGGGCCUCCGGGCUCGACCUCCAACCCCAUGUCGUUAAACCACGUUGCCUCGGGGGCGACCCGGCCUCCGCGCCGGGGCCCCCGGUGGACCCAACCAUCAAACUCUGCGUCUUUGCGUCGGAGUGAUAGAUUAAAUCAAUCAAAACUUUCAACAACGGAUCUCUUGGUUCUGGCAUCGAUGAAGAACGCAGCGAAAUGCGAUAAGUAAUGUGAAUUGCAGAAUUCAGUGAAUCAUCGAAUCUUUGAACGCACAUUGCGCCCCUUGGCAUUCCGAGGGGCAUGCCUGUUCGAGCGUCAUUACACUACUCAAGCCUGGCUUGGUAUUGGGCGUCGGGGUGCUCCCCGUGCCUCGAUUUCACCGGCUGGACCGUCCGAUUCUCAGCGUUGUGGCAACAAAUUCGCUGGUGGAGACGAUGGUGCACGCCGUUAAACCUUUUAUCUUAGGUUGACCUCGGAUCAGGUAGGGAUACCCGCUGAACUUAAGCAUAUCAAUAA
rnacentral:rRNA from 1 species